rnacentral:lncRNA from 1 species
CAUCUUCGCAGCAGAACUCUCUCUUCUUCUCUUGCUGCGCAGACUGCCGGCUAGCUACCGGAGAAAGGAACAGCAGACGAGGGGGAAGAGGAGUUGUACACUUGCCCGGUGCUGGUAGGAGUGGAGGAAAAGAUUUCGAUGCGUCGAUUGAUAUAUAGGAUUAUUUCGGGCGGUGGGUGCUGGGCUCGUUUGGUUCGGCGGUUUGGAGGGUAGCGGAGGCGCGGAAGGGAAGGCGUGCCCGCCUCGCUACCUUGGCUUUGCCAUGCCCAUGCCUGCUUGGCCUGCGCCUGUCCGUCGCCUGCCCUGCUACGAUGCUUCGGCGAUUCUGUUGCGGUUUCGUGUGCAUACUGCAAGCCGCUUGGGCAGCUGCACGUGGAUUCUCGUCUCCCUUUGCCUUUUCCACGCUACGGGACGAACCUGCGGCUGGGCACAGCAGUUGUCCUCUGCAUUCUUAUGAAUUCCGGUAACGAUUACCUGCAAAAGAGUAGUUGAUACAUACAUACGUCGCGGACAGGAUGGAAGCGCGUGUGAUGUGCGCAUGCAUGCCUCACCUCAACCGUCGACCAG